GCCAACAACUUUUGUCGAGUAGUCAGAGAGACGCGAAACCGCGCAUUGUCCUCACGAAACACGACGCCCUUCGGAUUUGUUAGUUCUGGACGUUUUUGUUCAAUUUGCUGUUCUUAAUUUAUUUAAUUGCGAUCCCACCAGACACAAAGCAUGACUUCCUUCGGAUGAAGAUCGACUUUUGCGAUGGCUAAAGGUGAUUCAAUCCGCUUUCUCAAGAUCUUUUCUGUUCAACGUUAUUAUAAAUAAUCCAUUUUUGAUCUGUCGUCAUUAUCUUCAAAUAUCACUUGCUUCAAAAAUGGUGUCUCCUCGUUGCGUUUGCACAACGAGUCGCGAAUGAAAAUGCCAUCCUUUAGAUUUUUUUCCGUUAAAUCGUGAGGAACCCACACAUCAAAACGGUUUAUAUAGCCAAGCUUCGCAAAAUGCUCGUGGAUGGUGAAUUUUGAUAUUUUUAACAUUUCCGCUAAUUCAGGUGUCGUAUAGCGUAGGUUAUUCUGGAUCAGUGUUUUCAUCUGACCUUAAUCAGUAGUAGAGGGCGUACCCGAGUGUUAUUAAACCUCAAGAUUGAAAUCACCAGCUUUAAAUCUGGCAAACAACUUCCGCACAGUUCUUGUAGCUAUAGUAUCGUCAUCAUAAACAGCGCAUAUCUUGUUUGCUGCUUGUGUGGCAUUCUUGCCUCUCUGGUAAAGGAAAAGCUUCAAAUGGCUAUGAUACAUUUCGUUUCCUUCUAUUUAAGGACGUAUAAAACUAACAAACUUUUUUCUAAAGAUACCUGAAAUAUCAUCUUUUAAAAUCUGUA